AACGAACGCUGGCGGCCUGCCGACUACAUGCAAGUUGAAGGGAAUGGUGCAACCCAUCUAGUGGCAGACGGGUGAGUAACGCGUGGGAACCUGCCCAUCGGUACAGACUAACCGCGGGAAACUGAGGCUCAUACCGUAUGCGCCCCCCAGGUUAAGUUGGGGGGGGAGGGUUUAUUGCCGGUGGAGGGUACCGAGGCGGAUUAGGUAGUUGGUGGGGUAACGGCUCACCAAGUCUUCGUACCGUAGCUGGUCUGAGAGUAUGAUAAGCCACACUGGGACUGAGACACGGCCCAGACUACUACGGGAGGCAGCAGUAGGGAAUAUUGGACAAUGGGGGCAACCCUGAUCCAGCAAUGCCGCGUGAGUGAUGAAGGCCUUAGGGUUGUAAAGCUCUUUUGGCAGGGACGAUGACGACGGUACCUGCAGAAUAAGCCCCGGCUAACUUCGUGCCAGCAGCCGCCGUAA
rnacentral:rRNA from 1 species